CUGCACUCGAUACUAACCUGACAGUCAGCAGCCCACAAGUGCUUGCACUUUGGUGUCUGUUUAGAUGUGGCUGUUGGGUCAAGAGAAGUGCUAGAUAAAACCCAGCAAGAUUUAAGCUCAGAGUGUGAAGGUGUGCUCUGUGUUAUGACUCGCGGAACAAUG